rnacentral:sRNA from 2 species
AGCCCCUGGGGUAUGACAAAACUCUUUACCUAUAUGUAUGAACAUCAACGGCGAUGGAUAUAUGAGUCGUCUAUUAGACACGUACUUUAAUAUCUAACAACCACCUCUUUUCUCAGGGUAGCAAAGGGGCGCUGUUCAUGGAAUGCUUUCUCAAGUAGGCACUUGGUGUUGAGGCCACCACUGCUGAGUCAAGGUAGUGAGUUCGAAUCCCAACCUCUUCAAAAGGAGAUUAUCUCAUUUUGUUGGAUAUUGGAGACCCUUCCUUAUCUCAUUUUUAUUGGUAACUGUCACUGCAGAGCGGAGCAAGGUUCAGCACCACGAGUAUGUAUAUAGUUUAGAUGGAUUCAGUAGAGGGGGAUUCUGAUAUAGCGGAGUCUCUCGUUACGAAUACGCAGCGGGGG